rnacentral:rRNA from 1 species
GGGGAAUAUUGCACAAUGGGGGAAACCCUGAUGCAGCGACGCCGCGUGGAGGAAGAAGGUCUUCGGAUUGUAAACUCCUGUUGUUGAGGAAGAUAAUGACGGUACUCAACAAGGAAGUGACGGCUAACUACGUGCCAGCAGCCGCGGUAAAACGUAGGUCACAAGCGUUGUCCGGAAUUACUGGGUGUAAAGGGAGCGCAGGCGGGAGAACAAGUUGGAAGUGAAAUCCAUGGGCUCAACCCAUGAACUGCUUUCAAAACUGUUUUUCUUGAGUAGUGCAGAGGUAGGCGGAAUUCCCGGUGUAGCGGUGGAAUGCGUAGAUAUCGGGAGGAACACCAGUGGCGAAGGCGGCCUACUGGGCACCAACUGACGCUGAGGCUCGAAAGUGUGGGUAGCAAACAGGAUUAGAUACCCUGGUAGUCCACACCGUAAACGAUGAUUACUAGGUGUUGGAGGAUUGACCCCUUCAGUGCCGCAGUUAACACAAUAAGUAAUCCACCUGGGGAGUACGACCGCAAGGUUGAAACUCAAAGGAAUUGACGGGGGCCCGCACAAGCAGUGGAGUAUGUGGUUUAAUUCGACGCAACGCGAAGAACCUUACCAAGUCUUGACAUCCUGCGACGAUNCUAGAAAUANUAUUUCUCUUCGGAACGCAGAGACAGGUGGUGCAUGGUUGUCGUCAGCUCGUGUCGUGAGAUGUUGGGUUAAGUCCCGCAACGAGCGCAACCCUUAUGGUCAGUUACUACGCAAGAGGACUCUGGCCAGACUGCCGUUGACAAAACGGAGGAAGGUGGGG